CAACAAUAUAAAAUGAGUUAACAUAUUCUUUCAGUAAAGAUUGACCUUUGAAUUGGGAUAUGUACUCUCUAUGUAGCUGUUUUAAUAAAACACUGCACAUCCUUUAACAUAUUUAAAAAAAAAUAUAAUAUCUUCAACUAUCAUUUUUAUAUCUAUCCAAUCCUUGACAGGAAUCACCACAGUGUACUAGAUAUAAACACAUCCUCCUCUUAAUUUCUGACACUUAUAUUUCUUCAGACUCAAUGUAUACAUGGUGGUAUAAAUUGAUAGACAUAAAAAGUGAAAUUCUAGAUGCUUGUCCAGGUCCAGUACUCUUAGAUAAAAUCUACAUAUUAAACUGCAUAGUACUAGACUAAGUUCUUUUGAUGCCUGUCCUUGUAUGUCCAUACAAUACACUGUUGUGAUCCCUGUUGGGUUAUUUUAUGAAUCAAGUACACCUCAAUUGGACGUUUUAGAAUAUGAAGAACUUUUGGUAAUUCUAUUGUUUGCUUCCCAAAUAGAAAAAAAAGUCACAUGAUUAGUUGAAUUUGCAUUGUUUUUAUGACAUUUUUAACAAAUCACAAUGUUUUGGUGUACACUUUUGAUAACAUUACUCAAAAUGCAUUGCAUACUAAAACAGUGAAUUUAAGAUUACUAGUUAGAUACUUGAACGUUCCCAAAUACCUUUCUGCCAUAAUUUCCAUAUUAUUUUCUUCUGUUAGCAGUUAUACCGCUAGCUACUGUAAUAAUGUGAAGAAUGUGUAGUUGCAGUGAUUUAUACUUACUUUUGAAACUACAGCCUUUAAUUCCCCAAAUCAUAAAGAAAACUAAUAUUAAGUAAAUAAACCAUUAAACUUUGAGUUUUGUGAUACAAAAUUUGUCCCAUGGUAUAUAUGCAGGUGCAUCAUUGCUGGCAUGGUGAUGGCAGUUUUUAACGACCUUGACUGGCUAUACAGCCCUUUCAAGGUCAGUGUUUUUAAUAAAUGAAUGUUGCUAAUCUCUCUUAAGCAGGUGACAUUAAGAUGUUUUGACUGUUUCUGGGCAGGGUUUCCCCUGGGUCAAUUAUUUUUUUCGCCACCUCUUUCGCCAAAACAAUAUAUUUUUCGCCACUUUAUUAUUUUUUUCGCCAGGUAACAUAACUAUAUUUUUCGUUUAAAAUUUACCUAUUUACUUACCCAAUUCCCCCUUUUGCCCCAUUGUGUCUAUGCUUAUUCUGUCAAAAAUAAACACUAAACAUUUACUUUUAAAACAACAGAUUUUGUUUUUAAUAUAAAAGGGAAAAAUAUUCAUUGUAUUUUAAACAACUUUUCUAAAUGAGGGGGCCACUAUACUUUUAAUAAUAAAGAAGAUAUAAGUCCUGGAAUACAACAAAA
rnacentral:lncRNA from 1 species